rnacentral:rRNA from 1 species
AGUGUCUGGUGGGUAGUUUGACUGGGGCGGUCUCCUCCUAAAGAGUAACGGAGGAGCACGAAGGUUGGCUAAUCCUGGUCGGACAUCAGGAGGUUAGUGCAAUGGCAUAAGCCAGCUUGACUGCGAGCGUGACGGCGCGAGCAGGUGCGAAAGCAGGUCAUAGUGAUCCGGUGGUUCUGAAUGGAAGGGCCAUCGCUCAACGGAUAAAAGGUACUCCGGGGAUAACAGGCUGAUACCGCCCAAGAGUUCAUAUCGACGGCGGUGUUUGGCACCUCGA